rnacentral:rRNA from 1 species
UACGUAGGGUGCGAGCGUUAAUCGGAAUUACUGGGCGUAAAGCGUGCGCAGGCGGCUUCGCAAGUCAGACGUGAAAUCCCCGGGCUUAACCUGGGAAUGGCGUUUGAAACUACGGAGCUGGAGUGUGGCAGAGGGAGGUAGAAUUCCACGUGUAGCGGUGAAAUGCGUAGAUAUGUGGAGGAAUACCGAUGGCGAAGGCAGCCUCCUGGGCCAACACUGACACUGAGAGACGAAAGCUAGGGGAGCAAAUGGG